rnacentral:rRNA from 1 species
AACGAACGCUGGCGGCAUGCCUAACACAUGCAAGUCGAACGAGACCUUCGGGUCUAGUGGCGCACGGGUGCGUAACGCGUGGGAACCUGCCCUUAGGUUCGGAAUAACUCCCCGAAAGGGGUGCUAAUACCGGAUAAUGUCUUCGGAUCAAAGAUUUAUCGCCUUUGGAUGGGCCCGCGUUGGAUUAGCUAGUUGGUAGGGUAAAAGCCUACCAAGGCGACGAUCCAUAGCUGGUCUGAGAGGAUGAUCAGCCACACUGGGACUGAGACACGGCCCAGACCCCUACGGGAGGCAGCAGUGGGGAAUAUUGGACAAUGGGCGAAAGCCUGAUCCAGCAAUGCCGCGUGAGUGAUGAAGGCCUUAGGGCUGUAAAGCUCUUUUACCCGGGAUGAUAAUGACAGUACCGGGAGAAUAAGCGCCGGCUAACUCCGUG